GAUUGUGUCAUCUCGGAAGCCUUUCCUAGGGAUAGAAGAGUCUAUGAAGUACAGAAAAGAGGAAAGAUCUGCAAACAAUUCGGUAUCUUCUUUUAACUUGAAACUCAUUCUACCCACUGCUACAGCUAGUGCAUUUGUGCUGAAGCUCUCAGAUACUGCUCUUGCAGACCUCGGCCUGGAUCUUUCUUGGUGCUGUCUCAUUCCACAUUCCCGAAAUGUUGCAAUAGGAUGUAUUACACAAUCUGAGAUAGCAAAGAAGAGACUAGACUUGAAGUGAGGAAGCUUGUCAUUUAGCCAUUCUUCAAUAUUUGCUGGUGGAAAGAAUGA
rnacentral:lncRNA from 1 species